UACGAAGGGGGCUAGCGUUGUUCGGAUUUACUGGGCGUAAAGCGCACGUAGGCGGUUUGUUAAGUCAGAGGUGAAAAUCCCCGGAGCUCAACUCCGGAACUGCCUUUGAUACUGGCAAGCUAGAGUCCGGAAGAGGUGAGUGGAACUCCUAGUGUAGAGGUGGAAUUCGUAGAUAUUAGGAAGAACACCAGUGGCGAAGGCGGCUUACUGGUCCGGAACUGACGCUGAGGUGCGAAAGCGUGGGGAGCAAACAGG
rnacentral:rRNA from 1 species